AUCACAUGAACUAGCAGCCUGUUCCAGCUAACACUCUCCUAAAUGCAAGGGUUGCUUGCCCAUGUCAACUUCAUCAAACCUAACCAAGAUAUCAUUCAUUCUGCAGAUCAAAGGCAUUGCAACAGAGACUCUUGCAGUAGUAGUCUACUAGUGUGAAAGUAUCCACAACGAACCGGAAUCUAAUCAUCGAAAAAAGGAUGGCCAAAGCAUCUAAUUCCAGAAGCAUAAUGGACCAGAGAAUAAAAGAAACCAACCAAAAGAAAUUGCAAGUUCAUCAGCCAAUCCUUUCAUUACCCUUAACAGUAUUCGGAAUACCAAUAGUCGCAAGUGAUCUAUAUCUAGACACAUUGCAGACGUAAAACUUGGUCUAGCACAUCAAACACAUGCAACUUUUACAUGACAAGUGCGCUAUAACCAUAAUCUCACUACAUCAUGCUGCAGAAAGUGAAAGGUGAUAUACAUAUCAAACAUAUGAUUUAUAAACAUAAAGGGGACAGCUGCAAACAAGUACUGGUAAAUCACUUUCCCCUGCCCGGUAAGGACGAGGGGAAAAAGUUUAGCCCGAAUAGCAUAAACAACAAGUUGACCCCUUUCACCAUCACCAGCUAGCGAACGAUAUAUUUCUCUAGUUUCUCUGGUACACAGGCCACCAGCUAUUGGUUUUCAUUCAUUCAAUCAAUAAACAAUCACAGAGCAAAUUGAUUUAGAGAAUAUGAUACCUCAAGCUCUCAGGGAAAAAACCAUGGCGGAAUGAACUAAUACCAGAAGAGAAAGCUACUGAACAAUGAAUAUGGCUGCGACUGGUUAGCAGAUUUCCAAUCAACAAUUCAACAAUAGGUGGAAACAUCUACCCAUCUUGUUUUUUCCUCAUUUUUUUCUUAUUGUUCAGAGCCAAGAACAAUAAAAAUAGAAUACAUUACAAAUGGCCUGAGUAAAUCAU
rnacentral:lncRNA from 1 species